ACCUCUUCCAGAGUAUCAAUUGGAGGGCAGUCUGGUGCCAGCAGCCGCGGUAAUUCCAGCUCCAAUAGCGUAUAUUAAAAUUGUUGCAGUUAAAAAGCUCGUAGUUGAAUUUCUGCUGCAUUGAUUUUGCUCCUUUACGAGUCUUUGCAUUGUGGCUUAUUUCGGACUUUGUUUUACAAUGUCCGGAUGUUUACUUUGAGAAAAUUAGAGUGCUCAAAGCAGGCUUUCGCCUUGAAUAGUUUAGCAUGGAAUAAUAAAGUAGGACUUUGGUUCUAUUUUGUUGGUUUUAGGUACCAAAGUAAUGGUUAAUAAGAACAGUUGGGGGCAUUCGUAUUUAACUGUCAGAGGUGAAAUUCUUAGAUUUGUUAAAGACGAACUACUGCGAAAGCAUUUGCCAAGGAUGUUUUCAUUAAUCAAGAACGAAAGUUAGGGUAUCGAAGACGAUCAGAUACCGUCGUAGUCCUAACCAUAAACUAUGCCG
rnacentral:rRNA from 1 species